rnacentral:rRNA from 1 species
UAUACAUGCAAGUCGAGCGGACAGAAGGGAGCUUGCUCCCGGAUGUUAGCGGCGGACGGGUGAGUAACACGUGGGUAACCUGCCUGUAAGACUGGGAUAACUCCGGGAAACCGGAGCUAAUACCGGAUAGUUCCUUGAACCGCAUGGUUCAAGGAUGAAAGACGGUUUCGGCUGUCACUUACAGAUGGACCCGCGGCGCAUUAGCUAGUUGGUGGGGUAAUGGCUCACCAAGGCGACGAUGCGUAGCCGACCUGAGAGGGUGAUCGGCCACACUGGGACUGAGACACGGCCCAGACUCCUACGGGAGGCAGCAGUAGGGAAUCUUCCGCAAUGGACGAAAGUCUGACGGAGCAACGCCGCGUGAGUGAUGAAGGUUUUCGGAUCGUAAAGCUCUGUUGUUAGGGAAGAACAAGUGCGAGAGUAACUGCUCGCACCUUGACGGUACCUAACCAGAAAGCCACGGCUAACUACGUGCCAGCAGCCGCGGUAAUACGUAGGUGGCAAGCGUUGUCCGGAAUUAUUGGGCGUAAAGGGCUCGCAGGCGGUUUCUUAAGUCUGAUGUGAAAGCCCCCGGCUCAACCGGGGAGGGUCAUUGGAAACUGGGAAACUUGAGUGCAGAAGAGGAGAGUGGAAUUCCACGUGUAGCGGUGAAAUGCGUAGAGAUGUGGAGGAACACCAGUGGCGAAGGCGACUCUCUGGUCUGUAACUGACGCUGAGGAGCGAAAGCGUGGGGAGCGAACAGGAUUAGAUACCCUGGUAGUCCACGCCGUAAACGAUGAGUGCUAAGUGUUAGGGGGUUUCCGCCCCUUAGUGCUGCAGCUAACGCAUUAAGCACUCCGCCUGGGGAGUACGGUCGCAAGACUGAAACUCAAAGGAAUUGACGGGGGCCCGCACAAGCGGUGGAGCAUGUGGUUUAAUUCGAAGCAACGCGAAGAACCUUACCAGGUCUUGACAUCCUCUGACAACCCUAGAGAUAGGGCUUUCCCUUCGGGGACAGAGUGACAGGUGGUGCAUGGUUGUCGUCAGCUCGUGUCGUGAGAUGUUGGGUUAAGUCCCGCAACGAGCGCAACCCUUGAUCUUAGUUGCCAGCAUUCAGUUGGGCACUCUAAGGUGACUGCCGGUGACAAACCGGAGGAAGGUGGGGAUGACGUCAAAUCAUCAUGCCCCUUAUGACCUGGGCUACACACGUGCUACAAUGGACAGAACAAAGGGCUGCAAGACCGCAAGGUUUAGCCAAUCCCAUAAAUCUGUUCUCAGUUCGGAUCGCAGUCUGCAACUCGACUGCGUGAAGCUGGAAUCGCUAGUAAUCGCGGAUCAGCAUGCCGCGGUGAAUACGUUCCCGGGCCUUGUACACACCGCCCGUCACACCACGAGAGUUUGCAACACCCGAAGUCGGUGAGGUAACCUUUAUGGAGCCAGCCGCCGAAGGUGGGGCAGAUGAUUGGGGUGAAGUCGAACUAAGUGUGGCCCA